rnacentral:lncRNA from 1 species
UCCAACACUUAACAUCAUCAUAACAACAAUAAAUCAAGCAUCUAAAGUAUGGUCAAACCUUGUAAGAAAAAUCAACACUUAGAAAAUUCUGGGCUGCCCAGAAUUUUUCGGUCAAUGCCGGUCAACCCAGUUUGACCUUAAAUAACUCUUAAUCCAUAAUUUAUAUGGACCUGAUUCGUUUUGGAGGUUAAAUACCACAUAACAAGCUACACAUAACAACCUUUAGAACAGAAAACACAUUAAAGAUAACCGAGAUAUAAGGCAUGACAUUUUCCAAAAUAAUAUUUUUUGGACACUUAGAAUAUUUUCUGGGUUUGAAGAACAGCCGGUCAAUGCCGGUCAACCCACUUUGACCGCUUAUAAAUCCCGAUCUACAAUAGAUAUGAACUUGAUUCCUUUUGGAGAUUAAAGACCACAUAUCAGGAUACCUAUAACAACUUUUAAACAACAAAACUCGUGAUCGAACAAAGAGUUAUAGCCUAUGACAUUUGGUGAAAAAUAACAGAAUUCGGUUUUUCCAACUUGUUUAAAUCUUCAAAUUUGUGCACUUUGAUGUUAUGGAUCUGUGUUUCUACAACCCAGAACAUUAAUAGACUCCCUAUUACACUACUUUAAACAAUCAAUUCCAUCAAUUAACAUCGAAUCGAAGGAUUUCAAAAUUAGAGAAUUUCAUACCUUUUCUAGCUUCGAUUUUUGAUUUUGGCUUUGAUGCUUCUGAUUUGUUGUUUGUGAUGGUUGGGCUUUGUUUAGGGACUGAUAUGCUAGAUAAUUUCGUUGGCUAGAGGUUGAGAGAGUUUGUCUAGAGAGUUUGUGAAAUUUUAGUGUGUAUUUUCAUUAACUCUCAUUCAUCUCUAUUUAUAGAUCAUGUCAAGAGACUUGGAUACUGAUUUGGCUGCCAUUAUUGAGCUCACAUGAUAAAUAUGAAGUGGUUGGCCGGAUUUGGUGGAAUUGGUAGCACAAUAAUGCACAAAUAAUGCACUAAGAUGGACAAAAAGGGUAAAAUGGUCAUUUCCCUUCUCUUUAAAAAAUAUAUUAGAUACAUUGGAUGCUAAAAUUGGAUGAUUCCAUUGUUUGAUAGCUAAUAACAUGGUAGGGUAAGCAUGUUGGGCAUUUUUGUUACAAGAUUCCAUCAACAAUGUAAGUAAUAAUACACUAAUAAACCAAAAAGGGCAUUUUGGUCAUUUCACAUAUAAUUUCAAGGGCAUUUUUGUACAUAGCAAUUAAAUGUAGUAUUUAAUCACUAGAUGGUAAUUCUUAUCAUUUACCAAUUAAUUCUAUCCUUUGGUAAAUUAAAACUUUUAUACAUUAACAUCGUAAUUAAACCCGAUAAUUUUAAAUUAGGGUUUUCUAUAGAAAAUUAGGAUUUUCUAAUUAGGGUUUCUUAACGCCAUCAAUUAGGGUUUCUAAUUGACCAUUAGGGUUCUCUAAUUAUCUGUGUAUGUUCUAACACAGUCAUUACGAUCUCUAACUUCAACCGAUUAGGGUUGUAAUAAUUAGGGUUUGUCCUAAUUAUCGACAUACAACAGUAAUUAGGGUUUUCUUCUAAUUACCGACAUCUUAUACACAGUAACCUUCAUAUACACAGUCACUACUCAGUCAUAUCUCGUAACUGAGUUUAAUAAUUAGGGUUUCACAGCACGGUAAUAUGCUAUGACCUAAUUGACUGUCAUUGCUCAAUAUUAUCUGUCCGCACAUACACAGUACAUAAUUAUUGUACUGUAAAAUCAUUAUAACAAUAAUAUAAUAUUAUUAUUCUCAUCUCUUGAUCACAAUCCCAAUUCAGGGUUUGGAUCUCAUAUCUGACUUCUCUUUCGCAUAUCAAGUUAAAAUACUUGAUUUAAAUAUUCUGAACAAUUCAUAUAAUAAAAUAUAUAUUAUAUAAAUUCUAAUUAUCACUUCAUAUAUUAUUUCCAAUCAUGUUAUCAUGGAAAAUAAUUAAUAAAAAUAUUUCUGCUUACAGAAAUUAAUUACCAUAAAAUAUAAUUUGUAGUAAU